ACGGGGGGGGCAAGCGUUGUUCGGAAUUACUGGGCGUAAAGGGCGCGUAGGCGGCCAACUAAGUCAGACGUGAAAUCCCUCGGCUUAACCGGGGAACUGCGUCUGAUACUGGAUGGCUUGAGAUUGGGAGAGGGAUGCGGAAUUCCAGGUGUAGCGGUGAAAUGCGUAGAUAUCUGGAGGAACACCGGUGGCGAAGGCGGCAUCCUGGACCAACACUGACGCUGAAACGCGAAUGCCAGGGGAGCAAACGGGA
rnacentral:rRNA from 1 species